UUGGGGAACGAUACGCUGAUGUUUGUCUCACAGAACAUCAGUCACUGUAACCCCUAGAGCAAAUGUGCUUUCUGAUGACUGUAAUUCAUUAAGCUCUAAGUUACAGACAGAUACGGAGCACACAAAA